rnacentral:rRNA from 1 species
UGGGGAAUAUUGCACAAUGGGCGCAAGCCUGAUGCAGCCAUGCCGCGUGUGUGAAGAAGGCCUUCGGGUUGUAAAGCACUUUCAGCGAGGAGGAAGGUGGUGAACUUAAUACGUUCAUCAAUUGACGUUACUCGCAGAAGAAGCACCGGCUAACUCCGUGCCAGCAGCCGCGGUAAUACGGAGGGUGCAAGCGCUAAUCGGAAUUACUGGGCGUAAAGCGCACGCAGGCGGUUCGUUAAGUCAGAUGUGAAAUCCCCGGGCUCAACCUGGGAACUGCAUUUGAAACUGGCAAGCUAGAGUCUCGUAGAGGGGGGUAGAAUUCCAGGUGUAGCGGUGAAAUGCGUAGAGAUCUGGAGGAAUACCGGUGGCGAAGGCGGCCCCCUGGACGAAGACUGACGCUCAGGUGCGAAAGCGUGGGGAGCAAACAGGAUUAGAUACCCUGGUAGUCCACGCUGUAAACGAUGUCGAUUUUGGAGGUUGUGCCCUUGAGGCGUGGCUUCCGGAGCUAACGCGUUAAAUCGACCGCCUGGGGAGUACGGCCGCAAGGUUAAAACUCAAAUGAAUUGCGGGGUCUAGCUG